UACGUAGGGGGCAAGCGUUGUCCGGAUUUAUUGGGCGUAAAGAGCGUGUAGGCGGCUUUGCAAGUCCGUUGUGAAAACUCGAGGCUCAACCUCGAGACGCCGGUGGAAACUGCAAAGCUAGAGUCCGGAAGAGGAGAGUGGAAUUCCUGGUGUAGCGGUGAAAUGCGCAGAUAUCAGGAGGAACACCGGUGGCGAAGGCGGAUCUCUGGGCCUUACCUGACGCUCAGGUGCGAAAGCUAGGGGAGCGAACAGG
rnacentral:rRNA from 1 species